UGAGGAAUAUUGGGCAAUGCCCGCAAGGGUGACCCAGCAACGCCGCGUGGAGGAUGAAUGUCGUAAGAUUGUAAACUCCUGUUAGAGGGGAAGAAUAGUACCGGUUGGACCGGUAUAUGACUGUACCCUCAGAGAAAGCCCCGGCUAACUACGUGCCAGCAGCCGCGGUAAUACGAAGGGGGCAAGCGUUGUCCGGAUUUACUGGGUGUAAAGGGCGCGCAGGCGGGAUAAAAAGUCAGUGGUGAAAUCCUACAGCUUAACUGUAGAACUGCCUUGUGUAUUUUUAUGCUUAAGUUCGGGAGAGAGGGACGUAAUUCCAGGUGAAUUGGUGAAAUACGUAGAUAUCUGGAAUAACACCGGUUGCGAAGGCGGUCUCUUGGUCCGAAACUGACGCUGAGGCGCGAAA
rnacentral:rRNA from 1 species